rnacentral:rRNA from 1 species
UAGUCCACGCCGUAAACGAUGAAUGCUAGGUGUUGGGAGUCAAAUCUCGGUGCCGAAGUUAACACAUUAAGCAUUCCGCCUGGGGAGUACGCACGCAAGUGUGAAACUCAAAGGAAUUGACGGGGACCCGCACAAGCAGCGGAGCAUGUGGUUUAAUUCGAUGCAACGCGAAGAACCUUACCAGGGCUUGACAUGUGGGUGAAAGAUAUAGAGAUAUAUCCCUCUCUUCGGAGACAUCCAUAC